GGACUCUGGUCCUCAGGCCAAUGCUCCAACUGCUGAACCAAACCGGCCAGGACAGUGAAGAGUUCUUCAUAGGUAUGCUGAUGAUUUUGGGGAACAAUCUAGAUUUUAGACGUGGAACUGAGAAUCAAUCUGAUUACACCCAGGUAUAAGGAUUUUUAUUUACAAAGGAAAAGAGAAUCUAGCUGAAUUCUCAGGUGGUAUGGGAGGCUAGAGAAUUGUGUCAAAAGCUUCUAAAAGACAAAGUGAAAUCUCCUAGCGUUUCAUGGUACUUUGUGGACAAAAGUCUGGCCUGAGUGAGAAGGUCUGCCAAAAACACAUCACUGGUCUCUUCCUGAAGAUAUUUGCUAUAUUUUGAAGCUGUGUAGACAGAAAUGUGGAGAGACAAGCUCAAAACUCCCAAAGAGCAGAAAUGAAUCUUCUCAGGGAUAAGGAGACAGACACAGACAACACUAUGGGAAAAAGUUUUCAAGAAUUAAGGCAAAAUACAGAUGUUUUCGGAAAAACAAAAGCUGAGAGAAUUUAUUGCUUAAGGAAAAUGGUCCUAAAUCCUCAGGAGGAGAAAAAGAGCACAGGGAAGCCAGUUGACUUCUUCCGCCCCCCCCCCCCCAACUGCUAGAGCUAGAGUUGAAAAGUAC